AACGAACGCUGGCGGCAGGCCUAACACAUGCAAGUCGAGCGAGAUCUUCGGGUCUAGCGGCGGACGGGUGAGUAACGCGUGGGAAUAUGCCUCUUGGUACGGAAUAGCCUCGGGAAGCUGGGAGUAAUACCGUAUGUGCCCUUUGGGGAAAGAUUUAUCGCCAAGAGAUUAGCCCGCGUUGGAUUAGGUAGUUGGUGGGGUAAUGGCCUACCAAGCCGACGAUCCAUAGCUGGUUUGAGAGGAUGAUCAGCCACACUGGGACUGAGACACGGCCCAGACUCCUACGGGAGGCAGCAGUGGGGAAUCUUAGACAAUGGGGGCAACCCUGAUCUAGCCAUGCCGCGUGAGUGAUGAAGGCCUUAGGGUUGUAAAGCUCUUUCAGCUGGGAAGAUAAUGACGGUACCAGCAGAAGAAGCCCCGGCUAACUCCGUG
rnacentral:rRNA from 1 species